ACGGCUGAGGAUCACGUGGGAACAUGCCUCCUUGUGGGGGACAACACCGCGAAAGCGGUGCUAAUCCCGCAUACGCUCGUCGUAAGGCGAGGAAAGCGGCAACGCGCAGGGAGAGUGGCCCGCGGCCCAUCAGGUCGUUGGUGGGGUAAUGGCCUACCAAGCCGAUGACGGGUAGCUGGUCUGUGAGGACAGACAGCCAGACUGGGACUGAGACACGGCCCAGACUCCUACGGGAGGCAGCAGCAAGGAAUUUUCGUCAAUGGGCGCAAGCCUGAACGAGCAACGCCGCGUGGAGGAUGACGGCCUUCGGGUUGUAAACUCCUUUUUCGGGGGACGAUGAUGACGGUACCCCGGGAAUAAGGCUCGGCUAACUCUGUGCCAGCAGCCGCGGUAAUACAGAGGAGCCAAGCGUUGUCCGGAUUGACUGGGCGUAAAGCGCACGCAGGCGGACGCGCGCGUGGGGUGUGAAAUCUGGCCGCUUAACGGCCAGGCGCCAUCCCAUACGGCGCGUCUGGAGUGAUGCAGAGGUCGGUGGAAUUGCCGGUGUAGUGGUGAAAUGCGUAGA
rnacentral:rRNA from 1 species